CCUACGGGUGGCAGCAGUGAGGAAUAUUGGUCAAUGGUCGGGAGCCUGAACCAGCCAAGCCGCGUGAGGGAGGAAGGUACAGCGUAUCGUAAACCUCUUUUGUCAGGGAACAAAGGCUGGGACUAGUCCCCGGAUGAGUGUACCUGAAGAAAAAGCAUCGGCUAACUCCGUGCCAGCAGCCGCGGUAAUACGGAGGAUGCGAGCGUUAUCCGGAUUUAUUGGGUUUAAAGGGUGCGCAGGCGGCCUGUUAAGUCAGCGGUAAAAGCCCGGGGCUCAACCCCGGCGAGCCGUUGAAACUGGCAGGUGGGAGUUGGAGAGAAGUAUGCGGAAUGGGCGGUGUAGCGGUGAAAUGCAUAGAUAUCGCGCAGAACCCCGAUUGCGAAGGCAGCAUGCCGGCUCCACACUGACGCUGAGGCACGAAAGCGUGGGUAUCGAACAGGAUUAGAUACCCUAGUAGUC
rnacentral:rRNA from 1 species